UUAGUAGAGACAGGGUUUCUCCAUGUUUGCCAGGCUGGUCUCGAACUCCUGACCUCAGGUGAUCCGCCUGCUUUGGACUUUCAAAGUGCUGGGAUUACAGGCAUGAGCCACCGGGCCUGGCUUUCCCUAGAGUAUUUUAAAACAACCUAGACAUCUGCAUGCAUCUCUGACUGAGAAGGACUGCUUUCCCUUUAACAUAACCACUUGCCAUUAUUAUAUCUAACAUUUACAAUCAUUCUUUAUGGCACUUAGCUCCCUGUGGCAUUUGUCAUGGUUCGUUUGGUGUGAGAGUUACACCGAACAUAAGUGUGUAUCCCCUCUAUUUGACUGUAGUUGCGUUUGGAGCAUGGAUCAGACCUCACUUAUUCUGGAGUUCUCAAGGACUCCCAACAGCACCUGCUCAGAAGCCCUGGAAAGUCAGAGCACAAUUAAGGACAUUCGCUCUAAGAAGACACUCUCACGGUUAUCGCUGGAACCCAGGGUCCCUCCAAUUGGAAAUGUGAAGUCAAAGGAGGAAAUUGCUCUUAGGCUGAGUCACAAGACUCGUGUCCUUUUCUCCUGAGGUAGAUAAGAGACACACACACAGGCAGAUACACACCUCAUGCCUCCAGGAGCCGCAGAGGCAGAGAAUGCAAAAAAUGUGGUGGUGCCAGCCGCAGCGAGGUCUGGAAAUGCCUUCUUAAUUGAGCCUUUCUGGGAGCUGCACAGGCUGGCUGGAGGAGGGACAGGAAUGGAGAGGCGAGUGAGGUGGAAGGGGCCACGAAGGGCCAUGUCUGAGAUGGGGCCCAGGGGUCUUUGAUCCUACUUCGUUUGUCAUGAGUUUAGAGACCCAGAAAAAAGAGCCUUGAGUUUCUUCCAAUAAAGCACUGUUACCUGAAAAAUGCCCAUCAGAACAGAAUUGCUCCACCUUUGAAUGGUUCUGUCUAUAGGAAAGUCUUUUCUAAUAGGAGCCCAAGUCUCUUUUCCUGCAGCUUUCACACACUGGGGCCACUCUGAACAAAUUUAGUGGUUUGACAGGAAUGAUUAGGGGUGGGGAUGGGACUCAGAAACCUCUGCAGGGUGCCUAGUAAGUGCUAGACAUCUUGCAUGCAUUAAGUCGUAAACCAGAAAACUCCAGAGAGACCUUUGCUGUGGAUAUUACUGUCCCAUGUUGCGGAUGAGGAAAGGGGCUCUGGGAAGUCUGCAGGUUGCCCAGGACACAGGUCCACCCAGCUCUCAUCUAGCCUGUCUUCUGGUUUCCCUUCAGAUGGCUGGAAACACGGCUCCUGGCUCCUCGAGCCCUCUGGUCUCCCGGCUUCAGACCUCCCUUACAGCACAUACUUUCCCAGCCCAUCAUGACCAGCUUCUGGGGUUCCCUCUGUUUGGUCUGCAACCCUCUUCAGUGAGAUCCCAGACAGGGACAUAAGCAUUCUUGUUGCUUUGCUGGGAAAGCACGAUAUGCCAGCCAGCAACCGAUGUACAUCAUCAUUUGCUUGAAGAAAUAACAUGAGCUUGUGACUCCUGGCCACACUCUGGGUAGCAGGAGGAGCACAGUCUGAG
rnacentral:lncRNA from 10 species